rnacentral:lncRNA from 1 species
AGGUUAAUAUCCUUCGUCCUUCGAAGCAUUAUUUCCCUUAGGAUAUAACGAUCUUCCGACGAAGGUCAUGAAGGACGUACCUUCAACAUCGUGAUAAGUGAUAAUGAAAGACAAAGCAUAUGAAACAUGAAAGAUAACAUGAACAAUCAUAUAACAUUAUUCACAUAUCUUCAUUACAUAAAUUCAAGUAUUUAAAUACAAUAUUUAAUCACAUUUAUACCUUCGGCUUGACAGAAGGCAAAAAAUCCAAACGUUGCGCACGAGCGAAUACAAAAUCGUGUGAACAGUACAGGGGUACUGUUCAUCUAUUUAUUGGCACAGGACGCAGCCUGUGAGAAAUUACAUUCAUAUCCUUUACAAAGGUUUAUAAUCAUAAUACAAGUUAUCACGGGCCAAUUGGUCAUUUCAUCUUUAGGUCGGUGCAUUUGGAAAUGUACUCUGAAGCCCUUUGAUUGAUAGCUUCGGCUUUGUGCUAGUCUUCCGAAGGUGUUUCUUCUUAUGGGACCUUCGGCGAUGAAGCAGGCCCCUAACAGAGCCCGUCUUAAGAAUCCCUUUAAGUGGUCACACCCAGUUUUGGAAGGUAGAUCGAAUGCGAACCAUGUACGUGUCAGGACCAGAAAUUCACGUACACGGCGAUUACAUAAGUGACUCAUCAUAGCACAAUGCUUUGAAUAACAAGGAAGAGUAAGUUAUAAUAUUAAAGACUAGAGCAUUUAUAUAAUAUAAAUCAAAGUACACAGAAUCGAAACGUAGCCAACGUAAAUAAACCCACCACAGGCAGCUGACUGGGGGAGGUCGCUAGGCUAAUCCUCGAUCUCGCUGAUGUCCUGGAACUCCUGGAGAGAUGCCUUCUUAUUUACGUGAGCAUAGAUUGCACCAAAGGCAACCUGGUGUUUUGUGAAAGCAAGGGUGAGUACACAUCAACGUACUCAGCAAAUGUCUCGUUUGGCUGAAGUGGACUAGCUUUAUGUGGGGGUUAAGGUCAAAGCAGUUGCUUUUAGUUGGUCAGGUAUUUAUUAUUAGUGGAAGCCAAGUUUUAUAAUAUAACCAACCCAUGAAUCCUUUCCUCAUCGAGGAACAUCAUUAUCAUCAUCGAACCAAAAUAAUAAAUAGAACCAUUGUAUAUCAAACCAUCUGUAUCUCUAAUCAAAUAGGAUCCCAAGGCCGCUCAUAACCGUGAGCACGACUGAUAUAUCAGUUUCUAACCCUCUGGAGAGGUCGCACACUUUCCCCACAAGUCGUGAUCCCCAUUCUGCCAGGAGAUCAUGACUCUCCAUUGAUCACUUCCAAGGUGACCUAGCAGGGUCUCACUACGUAGACUUUACAAAGAUUUUCCAGAGGUCAUAGCCACCAAUUAGGUUUGUCCAGUUUGAUAAACACUGUACCUCUCCCCAAAGAAAGGGUGACUAACCAAAACCAAAUCAAAGAACCUCUGCAAUCAGCCUCGGUAGAGCAAGUACUGUGCCUGGACCCCAUUGACGGCCCUACGAUGAAGCCAACUACUCCUCUGGUUCCUCUAAUUAAUCAGCUAAGGGCAUCCCAUUCCACCCUCAUGGCCGCACUGUUAUCCCGGAUUGUCACUCCACGAACAGGUCCUUACGGAGAGGUACUCAGGAAAAUAGCCUGAGUCCCCUAAAAUAUCACAAGAUCAUCAUUGGGAUAACAUCAUCAUAUCAUAAAUAUUCACAUCAUGUUCAUUGAUUAAAGUAAAGCAAUAGCAUAAAGCUAACCAUGAUAACCCCAAAAGGUAAAUAAGGAUAAGGAAAUACAGAAUUGUCAAUCUUUAGGUUUCAAUAAUGUAAUGUUGGACGGUGAAUUAUAAGUAUGUAGGACAUAAUAGGUCAGAGGACACUUGCCUUCACCAAACAGAUGCUCAGGGUCUUCAACCUUGUGGAACUCGAAGAGCCCGACCACUUGGUCGCCAACGCUUGAUCGUUGAUCCCUCAAAGCUCGGAAUGGAUCGCAGUCUAUUCGCGACGCACAGCGAAUACAAACAGGCACAAAUAAGCAAACAUAUAUAUAUGUAUAAGAACAUUACAUCAUUCAAAUAAAAACAUAAUAAAACAUGCAAAACAAAAUAGAGCGCGUUACUAUGGUCACGCGAGGAAAAAAAAUGUCGAACUCGAAGCGACGGUCGGAAAGAUAUCGCAUUUACGCUAAAUAAAUAUUAACUAAAACAUUUAAUUCAACAUUAUCAAAUAUAAAUAAUAUCUACCAUUUAGUUUUGAUUAAUCUACCACACUAAAAAGCUGUCAAAUAAAUAAGUAAUUUAAUUAAAACGAGAGAUUCUAAGCGAGGCGAAUUUACGACGCGCGAAACAACACGACAGUGUGCGAAACGACGCGCAAACACGCGUGACAUAGCAUGCUGACGACACACGAACUAGAGCGUGCGACCAGCGCGAACGACGCGCGAACCAGCACAUCGCCACGUGCGGAACAGCUCACGCGACAAGCAAAAAAAUACUAAAUAGAAGACGUGUUUAUACUAAACAAAUAUUAAAUAAACAAAAAGCGCAAGUUGAACACUACACAUUUAAUCUAAUUGAAAUAUUGAUCUAAUAAAUAUUAGUCGAGCAAACCUUAAGUCAAUUAUCUAAAAUAUGUGACCUGACGAAUUAACGUUAUUAAAAUGAGUGUUUAUAAGCGAAAACAAUUUAUUGUCACGCGCAAACAUCGCACGCCACAUGUGAUCGACAUGCGAGAUACGCGCGAGCAACGCGCGACAAGACGCGCGACCCACGCGAACAGCGCGCGACGACGCGUGCGAACGGCGCACGACAACGCGUGCGAAUGGCACGCGCGACACGCGACGAUGUGCGCGAAAUAGCACUGUGGCACGCGAAACAACGCACGCGACAACGCGCCAACGACGCCCUUGAACGACGGGCGGACAACGCGACGACGAUGGCGAGCGCAAUACACGCGAACAAAGAGUAAACGGUGCUCGCAACACGCGAGAGUCACUAAAAGAUAUCACGUUUAUACUAAACAAGUAUAAAUUCAGAAACAUUUGAGUGGGCAUAAUCAUAUUAACAUUUAUUUAUAAUGCACAACUAAAACUAUAAAUUAGUUUAACUAGAUUGCUACUUUUAUAAUUGUUGGAUAAAUAAAUUAUUAAAUAAAUAAAAUGUGUAUCACUACAAAAAAUGCUACGAAGUUGACGCGAUUGAAACAAGUACAAACAGAUUUACGAUGAAUAAUAUAUUGAAUAAAUAACAAUUUGUGAAUUAUAAAAUAUGCGGCUAUUAAGAACCGCUAAACACACAUCACGAUUACCCUAAGCACGUAUUCAAUCAAGACAUUUGAGUCACAUUAAUCACGUUAACAUUUAUUUAUGAAAGCAUAUGUUAGAAACUGUAAAAUAGUUUUACUAGAAAAGUAUUUAAAUAACCAUUGAAAAACCAAUUACUGGACUAACUAAUUAAUUACAGCUUGUUUCGUGGUAAAAUAUUGUUUCUAACAUGUAAACGGUAUUAUUACGAAGCUAACGCAACUGGUACGGGUCGAAAUUGAACAACAACACAAAAGAUACUGAAUAAUUAAUAAACUACAGAAUUAAAGCAAUGUUGCGCAUUAGGAUUUGCUGCAACCAAGGCCACACUAUGGGUCACAUGGAAAACAAAUGCACAAGAUCCUGACAUGGGGCACUUCUCUUCUCCACGUACCAUUUACCACGCACGAUGGUUACUUUCCCUUUCUUUUCUCUACAACGGUUGCUUUUUCUUCAGGCUGUGCCAUGGCGGACCGGGCGAUGGCAGCGAGUGACCAGCAGGCAGGGGCACGAGGUGAGAUGAUGGCUCGCUGGCAGGGCUUUGCACAGAGCGCGGUGGCGAAGCAGCACGCAGAAUAGGAAGUGAAGGGCUAAAGGCGUGUGGCCAUGGUUGUACGCUGGCUGCGGCAAGGCACGCCAGGGGUCACUCGGCGCCUCGGCCACGGCGGAGCAGGGCGGGCGAGGUACGGUAGCAGCGGCCAUGGUGGCUCACAUGGCAGGCGAGGCACGCGGGACACGAAGCAAGUGACGUGUGCAGGGGAAAACGGCUCCCUGGCCACGUCCGCCAUGGGCUGCGCGAGGAAAAAGGUCGCCGAAGGGAGGGGAGGGAGGAAGCGACGGGGAGGAUGCUCACCUUGGCGGACGAGUGGUGAUGGCGCGGAUCCGACGAACGAUGACGCAACAGGUAGCUCUAGAGAGGGGAGGAUGAGCCGGUUGUGCAGGGAGAGAGUCGGGGCAGGCAGUUUCGAGUUUAUGGGGUCUAGGACGUGCGUCGUGGAAGAAGAUUAGAGAAGCAAGCAAGCAUCCGG